UGUGUCAUGUUCUGAUUGGUUCCUUUGUUUCGUGUGUCAUGUUUUCAUUGGUUGGUUUUGUCAUGUGUUCUCCCUGUUCUAUAUAAAAGUUGCUCACCCAUGCUCCUAGGGGCUGAUUGUUGUUUUGUGUUUGUGAUUGUUAUAGCCAUUCCGAGUUUCCGAGUUUCCGAGUUUCCGAGUUUCCAUGUUUGUGUUUCCUAGUUUACCUGUGUUUUUGACCCUUGGACUGUUUUCCAUGUUUUUGAUUGUUUGCUGCCUGCCCUGACCAUUGCCUGUGUUCUGGAUUACUCUUUUGCUUCUGCCUUGGAUUAUACUGUUGCUGGUGCUCGACCCUGCCUGUUUUGACCACGCUAGUAAAUAAAGCCUUGCAUUUGGAUCCCCAACUCCGUUGUUGACCCCUCUACGUUACACACUUGUAGUUAGCCCGCUGUGGUUAGACACCAUGUUACAACUACAUCUGAAAAUAAAGACCACUUGGAGGAGUCGCACCUGGAAAAAGUACAACCCCUGGAGAGCUGUUCCAAACUGGAUAAGUACACCUUGCCAAGAACAAGUCAAAUGGCCCAGCUCAGGGCACAGACCAGAAGAGCUGAGGUUAAGAUGGCAGUCACCAUGGUGCAGCACAACAUUCCUCUGGCUUUCUCUGACCACUUCAGCCCAUUCCUCAGAGAGUGUUUCCCUGACUCACAGAUUGCCCAAAGAUAUUCUUCUACCAGGACUAAGACCAGCGCCAUAAUCAACAAGUGUAUAGCCCCCUAUCUGAAGAAUGAACUAGUGAAGAACCUCUGCAAUCAGCCUUUUACAUUAGCGACUGAGGGGUCCAACGAUACUGGUGUAUAUGAACAUGUUGAACAGUUAAUUACUGAGUGCUAAAGUCUAUGUACAAUUGAGUAAUCAAUUAUAUAUUCCUAAUAUAUAAACUAUAAUUUAAAACUAAUUUGAGUCAUAGAUCCAUAAGGCAUAACUAAAGUUUAUUCUUUAGUUUUAAUUGUUUUUUUAUUAUAAAACAUACCACUUUGUUUGGUUUUGAACUUGUAUUGAUUAGUUUUGAAAACCGUAUGUGAACAUGUGAAAAAUAAUUUGUAGAUACACAGAGUUUUGUUCGAGGUUCAGUUUGAGUGAGAAAAGAUUUCAUGAAUUCUGAAAG